AUUGAACGCUGGCGGCAGGCCUAACACAUGCAAGUCGAGCGGAUGAAGGGAGCUUGCUCCCUGAUUUAGCGGCGGACGGGUGAGUAAUGCCUAGGAAUCUGCCUGGUAGUGGGGGAUAACGUUCCGAAAGGAACGCUAAUACCGCAUACGUCCUACGGGAGAAAGCAGGGGACCUUCGGGCCUUGCGCUAUCAGAUGAGCCUAGGUCGGAUUAGCUAGUUGGUGAGGUAAUGGCUCACCAAGGCGACGAUCCGUAACUGGUCUGAGAGGAUGGUCAGUCACACUGGAACUGAGACACGGUCCAGACUCCUACGGGAGUCAGCAGUGGGGAAUAUUGGACAAUGGGCGAAAGCCUGAUCCAGCCAUGCCGCGUGUGUGAAGAAGGUCUUCGGAUUGUAAAGCACUUUAAGUUGGGAGGAAGGGCAUUAACCUAAUACGUUAGUGUUUUGACGUUACCGACAGAAUAAGCACCGGCUAACUUCGUGCCAGCAGCCGCAGUAAGAC
rnacentral:rRNA from 1 species